rnacentral:rRNA from 1 species
UAGGGAGUUUUCGGCAAUGGGGGGAAACCCUGACCGAGCAACGCCGCGUGAGUGAUGAAGGUCCUAUGGAUUGUAAAGCUCUGUUGUAGGGGAAGAAUGAUAGCUUUAGGAAAUGAAAGCUAUUUGACGGUACCUUAUUAGAAAGCCACGGCUAACUACGUGCCAGCAGCCGCGGUAAUACGUAGGUGGCGAGCGUUAUCCGGAAUUAUUGGGCGUAAAGAGUGAGCAGGCGGCAGGAUAAGUUCGAAGUGAAAGCGUGGGGCUCAACCCCAUACAGCUUUGAAAACUGUCCAGCUAGAGUGCGAGAGAGGUAAGCGGAAUUCCAUGUGUAGCGGUGAAAUGCGUAGAUAUAUGGAGGAACACCAGUGGCGAAGGCGGCUUACUAGCUCGAUACUGACGCUCAGUCACGAAAGCGUGGGGAGCAAAUAGGAUUAGAUACCCUGGUAGU